AUGAACGCUGGCGGCGUGCCUAAUACAUGCAGGUCGAGCGCACGGACGAGAAGCUUGCUUUUCUGAUGUUAGCGGCGGACGGGUGAGUAACACGUGGAUAACCUACCUAUAAGACUGGGAUAACUUCGGGAAACCGGAGCUAAUACCGGAUAAUAUUUUGAACCGCAUGGUUCAUAAGUGAAAGACGGUCUUGCUGUCACUUAUAGAUGGAUCCGCGCUGCAUUAGCUAGUUGGUAAGGUAACGGCUUACCAAGGCAACGAUGCAUAGCCGACCUGAGAGGGUGAUCGGCCACACUGGAACUGAGACACGGUCCAGACUCCUACGGGAGGCAGCAGUAGGGAAUCUUCCGCAAUGGGCGAAAGCCUGACGGAGCAACGCCGCGUGAGUGAUGAAGGUCUUCGGAUCGUAAAACUCUGUUAUUAGGGAAGAACAUAUGUGUAAGUAACUGUGCACAUCUUGACGGUACCUAAUCAGAAAGCCACGGCUAACUACGUG
rnacentral:rRNA from 1 species